CCGAGCAAAACACAACUAAGUGCAGAGGGAGAGAGAGAGGCAGAGAGAGGGGGAGAGAGAGCACCAGUCUCCACGUUGUGUCUGGCAGCAGACACGCUUCAAAUCAAAUCGGCCCGCCAGACUCGGAGCUGCAGGAGGCUCGGUCGUCAUCGGCAGUGAGUCUUUGAUGUAGGAUUUGAGGCCAAACAAAGGACCUGAGCGAAAAUAACCAGAGCGCAUAUCCAGCUCUAGGCAUCAUCGUUGAAAGUCAAAGGCUGAGUCUAUAUACAGCGUCUCCGGGGCUGCACAGCACAGUGCCAGCGGUGCCCAACAUUUUUGACUCUAAAGUGGACCGCGAUUGUGCCUUGAUGUCCUUCACUCCAGCAAACAGCCAGCCUGCUGUGACUGUAGAGCCGCAUUGCCGCAUUGCGCAACGCAGAGACGGGGGCGAACUCAGUGUAACCGAGGACAUGCCUCGCCGAGGAGACCCGUGUUUUUCCGAGCUUCAGUUGCAUCAGGAGAUAUAUUUGCACAGAGAAGCUAACUCCCCCCACCCGGGCUGUGCAGAUAUUUGCAACCAAUCCCCCAGCGGUGACUCAAAGAACAUUUAAUUGUCCUCCAACAUCUCACAGUAUGUUUUAAUUUGAUUCUGUAUCAUUGGAAUCUCACAAGAACAACAUCUACAGCGCCAACAAAAUUAUGAUUUUGAGAGAUUAAAUAGAUUCUUCUCCAACA